rnacentral:rRNA from 1 species
AACGAACGCUGGCGGCAUGCCUAACACAUGCAAGUCGAACGAGACCUUCGGGUCUAGUGGCGCACGGGUGCGUAACGCGUGGGAACCUGCCCUUAGGUUCGGAAUAACUCCCCGAAAGGGGUGCUAAUACCGGAUAAUGUCUUCGGACCAUAGAUUUAUCGCCUUUGGAUGGGCCCGCGUUGGAUUAGCUAGUUGGUAGGGUAAAAGCCUACCAAGGCGACGAUCCAUAGCUGGUCUGAGAGGAUGAUCAGCCACACUGGGACUGAGACACGGCCCAGACUCCUACGGGAGGCAGCAGUGGGGAAUAUUGGACAAUGGGCGAAAGCCUGAUCCAGCAAUGCCGCGUGAGUGAUGAAGGCCUUAGGGUUGUAAAGCUCUUUUACCCGGGAUGAUAAUGACAGUACCGGGAGAAUAAGCUCCGGCUAACUCCGUGC